rnacentral:rRNA from 1 species
AAUUACCCAAUCCUGACACAGGGAGGUAGUGACAAGAAAUAACAAUACAGGGCUUAAAGUCUUGUAAUUGGAAUGAUGGGAAUCUAAACCCUUCCCAGAGUAUCAAUUGGAGGGCAAGUCUGGUGCCAGCAGCCGCGGUAAUUCCAGCUCCAAUAGCGUAUAUUAAAGUUGUUGCAGUUAAGAAGCUCGUAGUUGAAUUUCUGCCUUGUCAUUAAUCUCGCUUCCGAGCGUUUUUUUAUUGACUUGGCAUCUUCUGGAAUUGGUGCCUUCGGGUACUAUUUUCCAGGAUUUACUUUGAGAAAACUAGAGUGUUUCAAACAGGCAUUCGCCUUGAAUACUACAGCAUGGAAUAAUGAAGUAGGACUUUGGUUCUAUUUUGUUGGUUAUUGAGCCAGAGUAAUGGUUAAUAGGAGCAGUUGGGGGCAUUCGUAUUUAA